rnacentral:rRNA from 1 species
CAGAUUGUAGGCUGAAACUCGCCUAUAUGAAGUCGGAAUUGCUAGUAAUCGCGGAUCAGCAUGCCGCGGUGAAUACGUUCCCGGGCCUUGUACACACCGCCCGUCACACCAUGAGAGUCGAUAACACCCGAAGCCUGUAGUCUAACAGCAAUGAGGACGCAGUCGAAGGUGGGAUUGAUAAUUAGGGUGAAGUCGUAACAAGGUAUC